GACGAACGCUGGCGGCGUGCUUAACACAUGCAAGUCGAGCGGUAAGGCCCUUCGGGUACACGAGCGGCGAACGGGUGAGUAACACGUGGGUGACCUGCCCUUAGCUCUGGGAUAAGCCUGGGAAACUGGGUCUAAUACCGGAUAUGACCUCACGGCGCAUGUUGUGGGGUGGAAAGCCUUGUGCGGCUAGGGAUGGGCCCGCGGCCUAUCAGCUUGUUGGUGGGGUGAUGGCCUACCAAGGCGACGACGGGUAGCCGGCCUGAGAGGGCGACCGGCCACACUGGGACUGAGACACGGCCCAGACUCCUACGGGAGGCAGCAGUGGGGAAUCUUGCGCAAUGGGCGAAAGCCUGACGCAGCGACGCCGCGUGAGGGAUGACGGCCUUCGGGUUGUAAACCUCUUUCAGCCCUGACGAAGCGAAAGUGACGGUAGGGGCAGAAGAAGCACCGGCCAACUACGUGC
rnacentral:rRNA from 1 species